rnacentral:rRNA from 1 species
UCGAGGGGUAUUGGUUUUCGGACCAAGAGACCGGCGCACGGGUGCGUAACGCGUAUGCAAUCUACCUUUUACAGGGGGAUAGCCCAGAGAAAUUUGGAUUAAUACCCCAUAGUAUAUGUGAAUGGCAUCAUUUAUAUAUUAAAGUCACAACGGUAAAAGAUGAGCAUGCGUCCCAUUAGCUAGAUGGUAAGGUAACGGCUUACCAUGGCUACGAUGGGUAGGGGUCCUGAGAGGGAGAUCCCCCACACUGGUACUGAGACACGGACCAGACUCCUACGGGAGGCAGCAGUGAGGAAUAUUGGACAAUGGGCGCAAGCCUGAUCCAGCCAUGCCGCGUGCAGGAUGACGGUCCUAUGGAUUGUAAACUGCUUUUAUACGAGAAGAAACACUCCUUCGUGAAGGAAUUUGACGGUAUCGUAAGAAUAAGGAUCGGCUAACUCCGUGCCAGCAGCCGCGGUAAUACGGAGGAUCCAAGCGUUAUCCGGAAUCAUUGGGUUUAAAGGGUCCGUAGGCGGUUUAGUAAGUCAGUGGUGAAAGCCCAUCGCUCAACGGUGGAACGGCCAUUGAUACUGCUGAACUUGAAUUAUUAGGAAGUAACUAGAAUAUGUAGUGUAGCGGUGAAAUGCUUAGAGAUUACAUGGAAUACCAAUUGCGAAGGCAGGUUACUACUAAUGGAUUGACGCUGAUGGACGAAAGCGUGGGUAGCGAACAGGAUUAGAUACCCUGGUAGUCCACGCCGUAAACGAUGGAUACUAGCUGUUGGGGGCAACUUCAGUGGCUAAGCGAAAGUGAUAAGUAUCCCACCUGGGGGAGUACGAACGCAAGUUUGAAACUCAAAGGAAUUGACGGGGGGCCCGCACAAGCGGUGGAGCAUGUGGGUUUAAUUCGAUGAUACGCC